ensembl:lncRNA
AGUAACAAAGUAAACAAAAGAGAGUAGUGUAAAAUGUGCAGCAACACUUUGCAUGAAAAUACUUUAAGAGAUUGGAAGCUCCUAAUUUGAGUUCGUUUGUGCAAAACUGCAGAUAUGCAGCUUAUUGUUUAUUAAGACCGCUUUGACGUUUCCCUCAGCUCAGGCCUCAUCAGAGCACAAAGUUCCAAGUGACUUCAAAGGGUUUUCUGCACUCAGAUUAACUCUAUGGGGCAUAUAGGAAGAUGAGAAAUGAACCGACACCAGAGGUGCAAUGAAAGUUGCCUCUGCGAGGGAGAGGAGUUCCUAACACCUGCUCAGCCCACACAGCACCACCAUGACCAGCUCCACCUGACUGCUGUGAAAGGCCCCUUUGAGCAGCUCCAAGAUCAGGUGCAGGAAGACCCUUGAUAAUACACAUGUGCACCAGAGACCCUCUAGGUCAGAUGCUGGCACUCUAGAAGGAAGCGUCCUCAAAUUCCUGCUCUGGCUCUCAUGCUGAAGUCUCUGGGAACGCCUUUAUGGGACCUUAGGUUCUUGCAGUACCUUGAUGAGACCUCCCUCUUCUAUAUAAUGAAUGUAACCACAAUGUGUAAUGACAGAGGCAAAGCUUGGAGUGAUACGGCUAUUUACCACAGAAUGCCAAGAAUCAGUGUCUACCAGGGAAAGCUAGGUUGGGGUGCAUCAAGUGACACAGCUGUAUCCAAAUCAGAACUCUCCCAGUGAGCAGAGCCAGAACUCUCAGGCAGCCUCUUGGAAGAUGGUACUUUGUUCGAAACCUGGCUUGGAGAAAACCACAACAGGUGCCUUCAUGUUGUUGUUUUUUUGUUUUAUAUUUGUAUUUUAUAGUCAUUUUUAGAUGUACAGAAAAUUGCAAAGAUAACAUAGAGAAUCUCCAUAUGCCUUUCAUUCAGAUCUGGCCAAUGUUAAUGACGGUAUAUUUGUCAAAACUAAGAACUACAUUUGUACAUUGCUGUCAACUAAAUUCCAUACUUUAUUCAGGUUUCCUCAGAUUUUUUUUUCAGGAGUGGCUUCAUGUUCCAUUCAGGAUUCCAUAUUCUGCUUAAUCAUCAUGCCUCUUUUGUUUCUUCCAAUCUGUGACUAUGUCUAAAACUUGCUUUGUUUUAAUAUGACCUUGACAAUUUUGAAAAAAUACUUUAGAAUUUAAGAAUUAUUAUUUACAGAUAUUACCAAGAAAUAUCCAGAACCAUAACACAUGGUGUCCCUUCAUUCUACCAGAUAAAAGAUGCCCAAGAGAAAAUAAUUAGAGAAGUCUGGGAGUUCCAAAGAUGGAGCAAGUGCCUUGGUGGGUGCUAGGAAUGUCAUUGGGACAAGGAAACCUUUUAAAACAAAAGAUAAAUCACGGGCAGUACAUAUGGGUCUAAUUAUCUGACAGAAGAAGGAAAGCACAAAAGUUGCAAUAAGAAGAAAAGAAAGUCAAAGUGAAUAAUAAGGCAAACAGAAUAUACAUAUAUAUGUAUGCAUAUAACAUACUGUAAAUGAUUUAAUAGAUUUAUAGUAUAUAUGCAUUUCAAAUUGUUUAUUAUUUUACAUUAGAUUUUUUUCAGUCUAAUUUUGUCACUCUAAAUUUAGUAUUGUUCCACAUCAUAAUGAGAGUUUGGCAUAUUCUACAUCUCUUCUAUUUAUUAGAUAUACCUAAAAAAUAGUAGCAAUAAAAUAGAGCAGAUGGUAGAGAAUAGGCUUGUUAAAGAAGAAAAUUGAAGAUUAUUUAACAGUCAAGAAAAGGUAAGUCUUUUACUUUAUUUCUGUAUGCAAAAAACAAUCUUUCUAGCAAUGAUUCUUCUAGGCACCAUUUGUUGAAAUUGAUCUUCUGAAAUAGUUCAAACUCUUAUGCUAGGCUUUAAUGUAGAAUCUUAUAUUAUCUAUCUGCCGAGUUCUGAUAGACAAUGAAAAAUGUGUUUGGGAUUCAUCUGUUUCCUGCAUAUUGUUUUCAUUUUUUAAGUCACUUGCCUCAAUUUAAA